rnacentral:rRNA from 1 species
GAUGAACGCUGGCGGCGUGCCUAAUACAUGCAAGUCGAGCGAACAGACGAGGAGCUUGCUCCUCUGACGUUAGCGGCGGACGGGUGAGUAACACGUGGAUAACCUACCUAUAAGACUGGGAUAACUUCGGGAAACCGGAGCUAAUACCGGAUAAUAUAUUGAACCGCAUGGUUCAAUAGUGAAAGACGGUUUUGCUGUCACUUAUAGAUGGAUCCGCGCCGCAUUAGCUAGUUGGUAAGGUAACGGCUUACCAAGGCAACGAUGCGUAGCCGACCUGAGAGGGUGAUCCGCCACACUGGAACUUAGACCCGGGCCAGACCCCUACCGGAGGCAGCAGUAGGGAAUCUUCCGCAAAUGGCGAAAGCCUUGCGGAGCAACGCCGCCGUAGUGAUGAAGGUCUUCGGAACGGAAAACUCUUUUUUUAGGGAAAAACAAAUGUGGUAGUAACUAUGCACGUCUUGACGGUACCUAAUCAGAAAGCCACGGCUAACUACGUG